AGCGAGCGGAGCGCGGGCGGCGGCGCCGGACCUCGGGCUGCGGGAGCGCGGGCGCCCUGGGGUCCUCGGAAUCACAAUGAGGACCUAGGGCAUCUGCCUGCUGACGCCCCCUGGCCUGCAGUGACCAUGGCCCCCCGCAAGAGGAGCCGCCAUGGCCUGGGCUUCCUGUGCUGCUUCGGGGGCAGUGACAUCCCCGAAAUCAACCUCCGGGACAACCACCCUCUGCAGUUCAUGGAGUUCUCCAGCCCCAUCCCGAACGCAGAGGAGCUCAACAUCCGCUUUGCAGAGCUGGUGGAUGAAUUGGAUCUCACUGACAAAAACCGAGAGGCUAUGUUUGCACUGCCCCCUGAGAAGAAAUGGCAGAUCUACUGCAGCAAGAAGAAGGUGCCCUCUCUGACCCCUCCGGCCACAUCUCAGGGUUCAUGGCAUGGGGUGGCUCUUGCUGCCUUGCCUGCUCAUGCAUUCACCUGAUGUUUAUUACAUGCCAGCCCUGUUCUAGGUGUUGGAGGAACAACAGUGAAUAAAAUAGAAAAAGGAAAUUCUGCUGUCCUGGAGCUUACACUCAAAGAAAUAGGAUUCUCUUUUUCAAAAACGCUUAAAGCAGGACCUGCUGCAUCGCAGGACUGGGGCUUGCUGGGAGACAGACAAAGAAGCAGAGUCUGGACUCUCUCGUGCCAGCUCCCAGGCAUGGAGGGUGGGCAUCAUGGACCAUACCUGGAGCAGCUUUGCUAUAAGAAAUCAGUUUGGGGGGCAGGGAUGUCCUCUUUUGGAUCUUUAGUCUCCACUCUGUCCCAGGCUAGGGCUCACACAUCCGUCCAUGUUCUCCUCGCAUAUCCUCCCUCUCUUCUUGCUCAUUAAAAGAUGCUGUUAGCCUCCUGCUAUGGCCCUCCCUAGAAAGGGGUAUGCUGAGCUCCAGUGGGGCUUAAUUGGACUUGAUCUCCUCCCUUCUGCUUUCCCAGCGGCUGUGCAUUCUUCUCUCUGCUGUCUCCAUCUCCGUGUUUCUUCAGCUUGCCUCUGUCUCUACGUCUCUCUCUUGCCCCCUUUCUAUUUUAGUCUGUUUCUUUUGCUCCUGAAUUUUCUUUUCAUGGCCUACUUUCCUCCUCUCCCCUCCACCCUCCCAGUUUUCAGACUUGAGUCCCAAGUCUAAAACUUGUUAUUCUGCCCUCCUACAUUGCUUUGGUGUUUGGGGACCAGAGCCUGGCUAUUCCCACGCCUGAGGCUUAGGCUCCCUCCCUCCUGGGAGGAGACAGGAAGGUCUGGGCGGAGUCUGAGCCAUGUAUCCUCUGUGCUCCUGUGCCCCCUCAUAGCUCUUCUCUUACUCUUCCUGCUGAAGACUUUAUCCCAUUCCGAGGUCUCCACACUGAGCCAGACUGACCUUGUAACAUUGGAGGAUUCAAAUAUACACCAUUUCAGAGUUGCAGGAACCUGGAAAACCACACAGUGUCGAUGCAGUCUCAUUCUUUAUUCUACAAAUGAGGCCAAGAAGGCCUAGAGAGGCAAAACUCACCCAUAGCCCACCCAGUCCGUUAUGGCAACUGGCUGCCCAUUGCUAGAACCUGAGACUGCUGGGGAAAAUAGUGCUAGAGGCUGAGGACCUGUGACAAGAGGCAUGGGCUGCACACGCUAUGAGCCAUUGUCUAGUAUACUCAAUGCAUGCUUAUUAAGCACCUGCAGAAUAUAACACUCUGUGUUUAUGCAUCUCAUUGUGAGAAAAGCAGGUCUUUAAAAAGCUCAAAUCAUGGAAAGAAGGAAGGAAGGAAGGAGGGAAGGAAAGAAAUUUCAGGUGUAAUUAAUCAUAUCUCAUGAUUCUCCAUUUUCCAAAUUGAUUUACUAUGGAGUUCCCUUAAGUUGGUCUCUUCUACAGCUGCUAAAAACAAAACAAAACAAAACAAAAAAAAAAACGGCCAGGCAUGGUGGCUCACACCUGUAAUCCCAGCACUUUGGGAGGCCGAGGUGGGCAGAUCAUCUGAGGUUGGGAGUUCGAGACCAGCCUGACCAACAUGGAGAAACCCCAUCUCUACUAAAAAAAAAUACAAAACUAGCCAGGUGUGGUGGCACAUGCCUGUAAUCCCAGCUACUCGGGAGGCUGAGGCAGGAAAAUCACUUGAACCAGGGAGGUGGAGAUUGUGGUUAGCCGAGAUCAUGCCAUUGCACUCCAGCCUGGGCAACAAGAGCGAAACUCCAUCUCAAAAAAAAAAAAAA
rnacentral:sRNA from 1 species